ensembl:snRNA U5 U5 spliceosomal RNA
AUACUCUGGUUUCUCUUCAAAUCGCAUAAAUCUUUCGCCUUUUACUAAAGAUUUCCGUGGAGAGGAACAAGUGUGAGUCUGAACCCAAUUUUUUGAGGCCUUGCUGUUUCAGCACGGCU